AUUGAACGCUGGCGGCAGGCCUAACACAUGCAAGUCGAGCGGAUGAAGGGAGCUUGCUUCUGGAUUCAGCGGCGGACGGGUGAGUAAUGCCUAGGAAUCUGCCUGGUAGUGGGGGAUAAUGUCCGCAAACGGCCGCUAAUACUGCAUACUACCUGAGGGUGAAGCAGGGGGAUCUUUGGACCUCUCGCUAUCAGUUGAGCUUAGGUGGGAUUAGCUAGUUGGUGGGGUAAAGGCCUACCAAGGCGAGGAUCCGUAACUGGUCUGAGAGGAUGAUCGGUCACACUGGAGCUGAGACACGGUCCAGACUCCUACGGGAGGCAGCAGUGGGGAAUAUUGGACAAUGGGCGAAAGCCUGAUCCAGCCAUGCCACAUGUGUGAAGAAGGUCUUCGGAGUGUAAAGCACGUUAAGUUGGGAGGAAGGGCAGUAAGUUAAUACCUAGCUGUUUUGACGUUACCGACAGAAUAAGCACCGGCUAACUUCGUG
rnacentral:rRNA from 1 species